UGAUAAUGUUUCCGACAAUGGCGGGGCCUCAGCAGCUGGCGAUGAAGCUGCUGUCACGGAGUCAGGAUGCGACAACCCCGCGACACCUGGCUGUUGAAUCUGUUCAAUGCAAAUCAGUCUUGCCUCUUCUGCAUGCACAUGUUAAGCUUGGCUUGCUCGGUGGGAGGAGUUAAUUUCAGGACCCUGGAAUGGUAGCAGUGCAUGUUACCUGGCACAUGUUUGGUUUGACAUGCCUGAAUUUGUGGUGCAUGUUUAUUCUUUUAAAUAUCGUGUGCACAAUAUUUUCA